AACGCACAUUGCGCCCUUUGGUAUUCCGAGGGGCAUGCCUGUUCGAGCGUCAUCAAACAAACUCAAGUCAAUUAUUGCUUGGUCUUGGGCGUCGGGGAUUCCCCGCGCCUUAAUGUCGCCGGCUGGACGAUCUGGAUCUCAGCGUUGUGGCAACAAAUUCGCUGGCGAGAAGGAGCGUCUGUGCCGUUAAACCUCCCAUCAAAGGUUGACCUCGGAUCAGGUAGGGAUACCCGCUGAACUUGA
rnacentral:misc_RNA from 1 species